rnacentral:rRNA from 1 species
UUACGCCAAGCUAUUUAGGUGACACUAUAGAAUACUCAAGCUAUGCAUCCAACGCGUUGGGAGCUCUCCCAUAUGGUCGACCUGCAGGCGGCCGCACUAGUGAUUGUAGUCAUAUGCUUGUCUCAAAGAUUAAGCCAUGCAUGUCUAAGUAUAAGCAACUAUACGGUGAAACUGCGAAUGGCUCAUUAAAUCAGUUAUCGUUUAUUUGAUAGUACCUUACUACAUGGAUAACCGUGGUAAUUCUAGAGCUAAUACAUGCUAAAAACCUCGACUUCGGAAGGGGUGUAUUUAUUAGAUAAAAAACCAAUGCCCUUCGGGGCUCCUUGGUGAAUCAUAAUAACUUAACGAAUCGCAUGGCCUUGCGCCGGCGAUGGUUCAUUCAAAUUUCUGCCCUAUCAACUUUCGACGGCUGGGUCUUGGCCAGCCGUGGUGACAACGGGUAACGGAGUGUUAGGGCACGACACCGGAGAAGGAGCCUGAGAAACGGCUACUACAUCCAAGGAAGGCAGCAGGCGCGCAAAUUACCCAAUCCCGACACGGGGAGGUAGUGACAAUAAAUACUGAUACAGGGCUCUUUUGGGUCU